rnacentral:rRNA from 1 species
UACGUAGGGGGCAAGCGUUGUCCGGAUUUAUUGGGCUUAAAGGGUGCGUAGGCGGCCUUGUAAGUCAGUGGUGAAAUAUCUCAGCUUAACUGAGAGGGUGCCAAUGAUACUGCAGGGCUUGAGUACAGAUGAGGUAGGCGGAAUUGACGGUGUAGCGGUGAAAUGCUUAGAUAUCGUCAAGAACACCUAUAGCGAAGGCAGCUUACUAAGCUGUAACUGACGCUGAGGCACGAAAGUGUGGGGAUCAAACAGG